AUUGAACGCUGGCGGCAGGCCUAACACAUGCAAGUCGAGCGAGCGGCGGACGGGUGAGUAAUGUCUGGGAAACUUCCUGAUGGCGGGGGGUAAAUACUGGACACGGUAGCUAAUACCGCAUACCAUCAGAUGUGCCCAGAUGGGAUUAGCUAGUAGGUGGGGUAACGGCUCACCUAGGCGACGAUGCCUAGCUGGUCUGAGAGGAUGACCAGUCACACUGGAACUGAGACACGGGAGAGACUUCGACGGUAGGCAGGAAGGGGGACUAUUGCACUAUGGGCGAGAGCGUGCUGCAGACAUGGCGCGUGUGUGCAGAAGGUAUUAGGGUUGUAAAGCACUUUCAGCGGGGAGGCGUUACCAGCAGAAGAAGCACCGGCUAACUCCGUGCCAGCAGCCGCGUAAUUC
rnacentral:rRNA from 1 species